AUUGAACGCUGGCGGCAGGCCUAACACAUGCAAGUCGAGCGGAUGAAGGGAGCUUGCUCCUGGAUUCAGCGGCGGACGGGUGAGUAAUGCCUAGGAAUCUGCCUUGUAGUGGGGGAUAACGUCCGGACACGGGCGCUAAUACCGCAUCCGUCCUGAGGGAGAAAGUGGGGGAUCUUCGGACCUCACGCUAUCAGAUGAGCCUAGGUCGGAUUAGCUAGUUGGUGGGGUAAAGGCCUACCAAGGCGACGAUCCGUAACUGGUCUGAGAGGAUGAUCAGGCACACUGGAACUGAGACACGGUCCAGACUCCUACGGGAGGCAGCAGUGGGGAAUAUUGGACAAUGGGCGAAAGCCUGAUCCAGCCAUGCCGCGUGUGUGAAGAAGGUCUUCGGAUUGUAAAGCACUGUAAGUUGGGAGGAAGGGCAGUAAGUUAAUACCUGGCUGUUUUGACGUUACCAACAGAAUAAGCACCGGCUAACUUCGUG
rnacentral:rRNA from 1 species